CGUAUCCUACGGGACGCAGCAGUGAGGAAUAUUGGUCAAUGGGCGGGAGCCUGAACCAGCCAAGUCGCGUGAAGGAAGAAGGUACUUAGUAUUGUAAACUUCUUUUGUCGGGGAACAAAGGCGGAGACGCGUCUCCGGAUGAGUGUACCCGAAGAAAAAGCAUCGGCUAACUCCGUGCCAGCAGCCGCGGUAAUACGGAGGAUGCGAGCGUUAUCCGGAUUUAUUGGGUUUAAAGGGUGCGCAGGCGGGAGAUCAAGUCAGCGGUAAAAUGUCGGGGCACACACCCGGCCGGCCGUUGAAACGGG
rnacentral:rRNA from 1 species